rnacentral:misc_RNA from 1 species
UUCAUUGUAAUAAUGUAGCUUCUUGGAACCAACUUUUAAUCUUAUGUUCUAUUACAUAUUCUCUAUACAAUACUAACUUUUUCUUUUAAUUUGGACAAACAAACGAUAUUACAGAGAAGUUUGAUCGUAUGUAUUGCACCAUAUGACCAUUUAAAAGCAGCCCACACAGAGUAGCUAGUUUUAUUCUAUACAUACUCCAUAUUAUACUUCCAUUAAUUAACUAAACAUAUCACAUAUUCAUAGAACACAACAAACGAAACACCUCUUUCACCUUCCCUGCUAGUAGUAUUUUCUGUUGUGAUGUUUUCUGAAACUUAAGGAUAACUAGGCUUCUCCAGAUCCUCGAAAUCACGAAAAAAUGUCUUUUGUUCCAACACAGAAUCUACCGUGGAGAAUUGAGAACCAUAUUUUAUAAUGUGAUCAGUAGCUGGCCCAAACACCCCUGUUUGGGGAUGAGGAGUCCAGUACUUGUAUUUGUCCGAUUCUACCUCGAUUAUUUCAUCAGGUACCCACGAUGACACAUAUUCCUCUAUAUUCUUGUCAUACACUGACGUGUGCACCACAUUCCUGCCAGAGAGCGCAGUAGAUGAUGAGUUGGCAGAAUUUCGAGAAGUUGAAUAAGUUAUCUGGUUCACAAAUCGUUUCCCCAAGCUUACCAGUCCACGUUUCUGUAAAUUAGUGGCCAUGCAAAUGCAAUUCUGAAAAAGAAGAUGUUUAAAAAUGGCUAUUAAACAGUAAUAAUAAGUAAAUUAUGAGCUAAUAAUUAUAAGAAGAGAAAAGUAUCCUGGUUCACAAAUCG